rnacentral:tRNA from 1 species
UCGCUUGUGGCUCAGCUGGUAAAGAAUCCACCUGCAAUGUGGGAGACCUGGGUUCGAUUCCUGGCUUGGGAA